rnacentral:rRNA from 1 species
GACGAACGCUGGCGGCGUGCUUAACACAUGCAAGUCGAACGGAAAGGCCUGCUUUCCCUUGUGGAUUGCGGGUACUCGAGUGGCGAACGGGUGAGUAACACGUGAGUGAUCUGCCCCCAACUUGGGUAUAAGCCUGGGAAACUGGGUCUAAUUCCCGAUAGGACUGCAGGGUGGUGCCUGUGGUGGAAAACGAUUUUCUAGUGGUUGGGGAUGAGCUCGCGGCCUAUCAGCUUGUUGGUGGGGUAAUGGCCUACCAAGGCGGCGACGGGUAGCCGGCCUGAGAGGGUGGACGGACACAUUGGGACUGAGAUACGGCCAAGAAUCCUAAGGGAGGCAGCAGUGGGGAAUAUUGCACAAUGGGCGGAAGCCUGAUGCAGAGACGCCGCGUGGGGGAUGACGGCCUUCGGGUUGUAAACUCCUUUCGACCGCGAGGAAGCCACCUGGUUGGAAGGGUGGUGACGGUAGUGGUAGAAGAAGCACCGGCUAACUACGUG